rnacentral:rRNA from 1 species
GCAAGUCGAACGGAAAGGCCUCAGCUUGCUGGGGUACUCGAGUGGCGAACGGGUGAGUAACACGUGGGUGAUCUGCCCUGCACUUCGGGAUUAGCUUGGGAAACUUGGUCUAAUACCGGAUAGGACCAUCGUGUUGUGGCGGUGGUGGAAAGUUUUUUCGGUGUGGGAUUAGCGCGCGGCCUAUCAGCUUGUUGGUAGGGUAAUGGCCUACCAAGGCGUCGACGGGUAGCCGGCCUGAGAGGGUGAAC